rnacentral:rRNA from 1 species
GACGAACGCUUGCGACGUGCCUAAGAAAUGCAAGUCGAACGGGGCAGUCUUCGGACUGUCUAGUGGCGAACGGUCGCGUAACACGUGGGCAACCUGCCCUGAAGCGGGGGACGAACAACUACGAAGAAGUUGUCUAAUAACCGCCAUGUGAACGGGAGGUGGCGAUCCCUUCCUUGUUCUAAAGACCUUCCGGGUCGACUUCUAGGAGUGGGCCCGGCCGGCCUACUC